rnacentral:sRNA from 1 species
UUGCCAGUCUGACAGACCAAAGUCAUCUUUUUGUUGACAAAACAGGUACAGCAUAGGCAUCAGUACAGGCUUCCUCACACUGCCCUAUGUUCAGCCUUAAAAGUAGCUGCUGCCUCUAGGGGUGAAGAUCUAGUUCCUUCUCCAUGGCCCCUUUACUGAGACCGCGAAU